rfam:Aedes flavivirus genomic RNA, complete genome, strain: Narita-21
GGCAUGAAAAUGUCGGGCCUGACGAACCCGCGCACCCGAGUCCCCCAGUUGGGGAAG